rnacentral:misc_RNA from 1 species
GUGAAUCAUCGAAUCUUUGAACGCAUAUUGCACUCUCUUGGAUUCCGGAGAGUAUUCCUAUUUGAGAGUCAUUUGAAAUUAUAUAAAUUUCUAGAUUUUCCUCGAAUCAAAAAUUGGACGGUCCAUCUUUCUUGUGGUGGUCGCCUAAAAUGCAAGACAAGGUCAUUUCUUGGGUUGCGUGAUACUUUCACUUACCUCGUGACUUCACAAAGAAUCUUCGAGCGUGUUAAGAAUUAUGCUAUAUUUAUACUUCAUUUAUCUCGAGCU